GACAGAGGAGCCAAGCGUUGUUCCGGACUGACUGGGCGUAAAGCGCACGCAGGCGGCGCUGCGCGUGGGGUGUGAAAAGCUCUUGGCUUAACUGAGAGAGGCCAUCCCAUACGGCAGUGCUCGAGCGGUGCAGAGGUUCCGCGGAAUUGCCGGUGUAGUGGUGAAAUGCGUAGAGAUCGGCAGGAACAGCCCAGGGGAACCAGCGGACUGGGCAUCAGCUGACGCUCAGGUGCGACAGCGUGGGGGGAGCGAACCGG
rnacentral:rRNA from 1 species